rnacentral:rRNA from 1 species
AUAGCGGCGUUANCGUGAGCGUCCUAAGGUAGCGCGAUAAUUUGCCCUUUAAUUGGGGGAUGGUAUGAAUGGGUUAACGCGGGGGUUGCUGUCUCAUAAAGAAAAAUUUGAAAUUAACUUAAAGGUGAAGAGGCCUUUAUAAAUAAAAGGGACNACNAGACCCUAUGAANCUUUACCUAGAACGGAAUGAAACAUUUUCUGAUGGU